rnacentral:lncRNA from 1 species
CAUGCGGAACAGUGGGCAGAAAUCCAACGAGAGACCAGUGAGUGGUUCACGAAACGAGCCGAAGAAAAAAAGCAAGGGAGAUGGAGCCACUGCUAGUAAAUCGAAGAGAUUUGAACUUUUUUAUCAGGAUGGAAGAAGGAGCCAAGAAAAGGAUACCACUCUUAUCAAACUAUGAACGGGCUUUAGUAAAGGUUGAUGAAAAGGACAAAAGGAAAGAAAAGUCAUCUUCCAG